CCAGCAAUUGCGGUUAUACAUACAGUGAAUUCAAAUUGUUCGGUUUCAGUAAUUUUUUUUCUUACUUAAAGUGUUAAUUUUUAAGGUGAAAUUUUAAAUUAUAUGUGAGUUAUAUAUUAUAAAGAGGCUGAGAACUUCAUGCUAAAGACUAGGAUUAGAUACCCUAUUAUUAUGACUGUGAAUUUUUUUUACUGAAUUAGUAUUAGUUAUGUUCUUGAAAGUUAAAGAUUUUGGCGGUACUUUAGUCCAUUCAGAGGAACCUGUCCUGUAAUUGAUGGUCCACGAUUUAAUUUACUUUCUUUAUUGGCUUGCAUAUCGUCGUGGUUGAAUAUGCUAUAAGAUUAAUAAUAUUCGAGAUACUUUAUUGGGUUGGAUAUCAGAUCAAGGUGUAGCUUAUGGGAUAGUAGAGAUGGGUUACAAUAAAUAUAUUUAAGGAUUUAUUUGUUAAAAUAUAUAAUGAAUGCGGAUUUGGCAGUAAUUUUAGUUAAAUAACUAAUAUGACUUUGGCUCUAAAAUAUGCACAUAUUGCCCGUCGCUUU
rnacentral:rRNA from 1 species